UUUGAAUUUUGCAACUACUAA
rnacentral:piRNA from 1 species